rnacentral:lncRNA from 1 species
AUAGCAUAACAUAGUGAAAAUCUCAAGAGUUAUUGCCAAAUAGAAAUAUUUCCUCUGCCAACUAUGUCUAUGGUUUACCCUGAUUUAUUGCAAUUAAAGAUUUUAUGCUAGCAAUAUUUUACCUGUAAAUUGUUUAAUUAUUUCCAUUUUCACAUAUUUAGUCCACAAUCCCAAUAUCCUAUUUUAAAAGGAUAAUCGGUAUUCAGCCCUUCUUUAAAUUAUCUUCUAGUGGCACAUUCUUAAGUUAUACUCCAAUAACCAGGGCAUAAUCUUGUGACAAUUUCAAAAAGAAGUCUGAAUUAUUUUGACUCAGUAUUUUUGAUUUUCCAUGACUUCCUUGGUUACACUACUGAUCUUUCCCAUAAGACUACUUUAAAAUAGUAAAAUAUUCCCUUUAAUUCAUAAAAAUAAUGAUAUCCAUCCCCUUCUCAAUAUACCUCCUUGAUGGCUUUCUCGACAACACAAUUGAUUGAAUGGGACCUAUCUUUUCAUUAGGUAUACUGUCUUUUAAUGUGUAACAAACCAAUUAUGUAUAACAAGUAUUGCCUAGUUGGCCCUUGCAACUAGAGAAAUUUUGUUUGUAAGUUCUUCAAAUUGAGUAAGGCAUCCAUAGAACAGUAUUUUUUUAAAUUUUGUACAUAUGUUCUAACAAGGAAUACAGAAAGUAAAAACUGAGACUAAAAUUAGAAUUUCCAAUUGAAUGACCUACAACAUUCAUUACUUCUAAAAGUUUUUAUCAUUUGAAAAGAAAUGUAUUGCAUAGCUUUCCUGGAAUUAGACAUGUUAAAGUCUAUGAUCUCUGUUGUUGUAUCAAAACAGUGGAUGUUUCAUUAUCUCUAGGCAUUGUAUGGUAAGAAAUGUAUUGAAUUUCUCACAAGUAUCCUCUUGCUUAGUAAAAAUGUUUUGCAUUGCUUUCCUGGAAUUAUGCAGUCUGAAGUGUUGAACUCUUUCAUUUCUGGUUGUAUUAAAACAUGGUGUUCUAUAAUCUGAAAGUGAUUUUUAAUUAGAACUACAUUAUAUCCGAUCUAUCAUGCAGCAGCAUAAGAAUGGGUUAUUCUCAAUGUCCCUUUUAAAAAUAAAGUAAUUAUAAGCUUUAGCUUAAAUCCUGUACAAUUCCCAGAUGGUUUUUAUGCCCCAUUUAUGGGCAUUAUGUUUUCUGGUCUGUGCAUCCGUUCAUUCGUCCAACUUCAAGUUAUAGUUUUUGGUCGAGGUAGUUUUCGAUGAAGUUGAAGUCUAAUUGUAACGAUGACAAUCCAUCCAGAGAUCCCUUAUCUACAGAAGUGAUCAUGUUUCCGAAGAGAUUUCUGCAAAAUAACUGAGUAAUAAGAAAUAUACCAAGGUGCAACAUUGUAUCUCAUAUGAACUGUAUAUUAAAUAGAUAGUGAAAUUUUUUUUUCUCUGUAGGGAGAAAUUUUAUUUAUGUUUUUAUUUUAAUUCAUUUAAAACUGCAUACUGAGAAAACAAUAUAAAUAUAAGAAAAAUCAGUACCUUAAACAUUGAUGUUUUUAUGCCCCAUUUAUGGGCAUUAUGUUUUCUGGUCUGUGCAUCCGUUAGUUCGUCCAACUUCAGGUUAUAGUUUUUGGUCAAGGUAGCUUUCAAUGAAGUUGAUGUCCAAUCAACUUGAAACUUAGUACACAUAUUCCUUAUGCUAUGAUCUUUCUAAUUUUAAUGCCAAAUUAGAGAUUUUUCUUAAUUUUCACGGUCUAUUGAACAUAGAAAAUGAUAGUGCGGAUGGGGCAUCUGUGUUCUACUAGGGACACAUUCUUGUUUAUUUACAUUUUUUGCAAUGAUUCAUUAUGAUCACUAAAAAUUGAAUUGCUUGAACACCUGGAAUAAGACAUUAUGACAUGUUAACUUUUUUUUUUGAUUCCUGUGGUUGUAUUAAAAUCUGUUGCAUAAUCUUGCUGUGUUGUUUGGUUGGAAGUUCAUUUUAUUCAAUCUAUCAUUGCACAGCAUUUCAAGGGGUUAUCUUUA